CGGGGUAUAGCUUAGUGGUUAAAGCGCUUGUUUUGGGUACAAGAAACCGUGUGUUCGACUCACACUACCCCGA
rnacentral:tRNA from 1 species